GCGGUCUGUUGUGUGUGAGGCGGCGCCGGUGAAGAAGGCGGACUCGGCUGCGAAGAGAGCGCGGCAGGCGGAGAAGCGUCGGGUGUAUAAUAAGUCGAGGAAGUCAGAGAUCAAGACCCGGAUGAGGAAGGUCCUCGAAGAAUUGGAUGUGCUGAGAAAGAAGACCGAAGCGCAAGCCGAAGAAAUACUUCCUAUAGAGAAACUGAUUGCGCAAGCAUAUUCGACCAUCGACAAGGCAGUGAAGGUGGGCACACUGCACAGGAACACCGGGGCUAAUAGAAAGUCACGACUUGCGAGGAGGAAGAAAGCUGUAGAGAUCCACCAUGGCUGGUAUACACCAUCAGACCCUGCCCAGGUUUGAAGAUUGAUGAAUCCUUCCAGUUUUAUUUACCGAGUUAGACAUUGUUUUGUAGAAAUGUGUGAAAAAGACUG
rnacentral:misc_RNA from 1 species